rnacentral:rRNA from 1 species
CAGAAGGGGNAUGNCNUNUAGUACGGCGAGUGAAGCGGCAAAAGCUCAAAUUUGAAAUCUGGCACCUUCGGUGUCCGAGUUGUAAUUUGAAGAAGGUAACUUUGGAGUUGGCUCUUGUCUAUGUUCCUUGGAACAGGACGUCACAGAGGGUGAGAAUCCCGUGCGAUGAGAUGCCCAAUUCUAUGUAAAGUGCUUUCGAAGAGUCGAGUUGUUUGGGAAUGCAGCUCUAAGUGGGUGGUAAAUUCCAUCUAAAGCUAAAUAUUGGCGAGAGACCGAUAGCGAACAAGUACAGUGAUGGAAAGAUGAAAAGAACUUUGAAAAGAGAGUGAAAAAGUACGUGAAAUUGUUGAAAGGGAAGGGCUUGAGAUCAGACUUGGUAUUUUGCGAUCCUUUCCUUCUUGGUUGGGUUCCUCGCAGCUUACUGGGCCAGCAUCGGUUUGGAUGGUAGGAUAAUGACUAAGGAAUGUGGCUCUACUUCGGUGGAGUGUUAUAGCCUUGGUUGAAAUUGCCUGUCUAGACCUAGGAGCGCGUCUCUCGACUACUAUGGUGGUCCCCGGAUCUUUUUCUUUCCCCCCGGAUGGACAGACAAACAAA